rnacentral:misc_RNA from 1 species
GCAGCAUAUUCCACAACCACAAGCUUGUUCUUUGCCAUUCUAAGGGCUUCAUCGAAUUCCUCCAUAUUGUGGAUUUUUUUUACUCUUUCAUCUCUAGCAGCUGUCUUGGUCUCAGAGGCAGCAGUGGCCUUUAUGAUGAAGUGUGUCCUGUUCGUUUCUAGUUUUGUUGCUAAUAAAGGCUUAUGUUUAGAGACAAAGUUAACUAGAAAGGAACCAUGGAAGCAAAGAGGAUUGAUUCUAGGGGUGCUUGAAAGAGAAGUUGGUGGUUUUGACAAGAAAUUGGUCAUUGUAGCCAUGGCAAAGAAUGGGUUUGAAGUGAAUAUGGAGAUGGGACAGUGGAGAAGAACACAGAAAGCAGGGAGUUCCCAGGAGCUAAUAACAAAUCUAAGUGACCAAAAUGAUAGCCACUCGUUGGCUAUGUGGUGGAUGUUAUCCACAAAUCUGGUUUCGGCUGGAUUUUUAUCAGGUCUAGAAAUAUCAUGCAACCCCCUUUCGGUUGGAUUUUCACA